CCUAAGAGAUACGUGUUAUGUGAAGUGCUCACACAGAUUGUCUGAUGAAGAACGAGCAAAAGCGCGUCUGCGAAGCUGACAGAAGUCCCCUUCGUCUAGAGGCCUAGGACACCGCCCUUUCACGGCGGUAACAGGGGUUCGAAUCCCCUAGGGGACGCCAAUGCGCGGUAUGAGUGAAAGGCGUACCACUUAUCUGACGAAAGUCAGAGAAUAACUAAGCUAAUUCAAACGAGUUAUCUUACUUAUUAUGCUCUUUAACAAUCUGGAACAAGCUGAAAAAUUGAAAACAAAUCAAUAUAUCAACGAGGUAUAUUGGUGAGUCUCUCAAAAUCUCAAACCUUAAAGUUUGUCACGCAAAGUUUAUCUUUGAAAAAGACACUUUCGGGUUGUGA
rnacentral:misc_RNA from 1 species